rnacentral:rRNA from 1 species
AAGGUAGCGAAAUUCCUUGUCGGGUAAGUUCCGACCCGCACGAAAGGCGUAACGAUUUGGGCACUGUCUCAACGAGAGACUCGGUGAAAUCAUAGUACCUGUGAAGAUGCAGGUUACCCGCGACAGGACGGAAAGACCCCGUGGAGCUUUACUGUAGCCUGAUAUUGAAAUUCGGCACAGCUUGUACAGGAUAGGUAGGAGCCUUUGAAACGUGAGCGCUAGCUUACGUGGAGGCGCUGGUGGGAUACUACCCUAGCUGUGUUGGCUUUCUAACCCGCACCACUUAUCGUGGUGGGAGACAGUGUCAGGCGGGCAGUUUGACUGGGGCGGUCGCCUCCUAAAAGGUAACGGAGGCGCUCAAAGGUUCCCUCAGAAUGGUUGGAAAUCAUUCAUAGAGUGUAAAGGCAUAAGGGAGCUUGACUGCGAGACCUACAAGUCGAGCAGGGUCGAAAGACGGACUUAGUGAUCCGGUGGUUCCGCAUGGAAGGGCCAUCGCUCAACGGAUAAAAGCUACCCCGGGGAUAACAGGCUUAUCUCCCCCAAGAGUUCACAUCGACGGGGAGGUUUGGCACCUCGAUGUCGGCUCAUCGCAUCCUGGGGCUGUAGUCGGUCCCAAGGGUUGGGCUGUUCGCCCAUUAAAGCGGUACGCGAGCUGGGUUCAGAACGUCGUGAGACAGUUCGGUCCCUAUCCGUCGUGGGCGUAGGAAAUUUGAGAGGAGCUGUCCUUAGUACGAGAGGACCGGGAUGGACAUACCUCUGGUGUACCAGUUGUCGUGCCAACGGCAUAGCUGGGUAGCUAUGUGUGGACGGGAUAAGUGCUGAAAG